GCUAACGCUGGCGGCGUGCUUAGCCAUGCAAGUCGAGCGGACUUAUGGGGUAACUUAUAAGUCAGCGGCGGACGGCGGAGUAACACGUAGCUAACCUACCCUCUGGACGGGGAUAACCUACCGAAAGGUGGGCUAAUACCCGAUGUAGUCAUCCUGUAUAGGGGUGAUGAAAGGUGGGCUUCUGUUUACAAGCUCAUGCUGGAGGAGGGGGCUGCGGCCUAUCAGGUAGUUGGUGAGGUAACGGCUCACCAAGGCGACGACGGGUAGCCGGCCUGAGAGGGCGACCGGCCACACUGGGACUGAGACACGGCCCAGACUCCUACGGGAGGCAGCAGUGGGGAAUAUUGCACAAUGGGCGAAAGCCUGAUGCAGCGACGCCGCGUGAGGGAUGAAGGCCUUCGGGUUGUAAACCUCUUUCAGCAGGGAAGAAGCGAAAGUGACGGUACCUGCAGAAGAAGCACCGGCUAACUACGUG
rnacentral:rRNA from 1 species